GCCUCGAUAUCUCAGUGGCAGAGCGGUGGGCCGUGGGGCGUUGACCCAUGCGGCCCAGGUUCGUGUCCCGGUCGAUGCA